UACGUAGGGGGCGAGCGUUGUCCGGAUUUAUUGGGCGUAAAGAGCUCGUAGGCGGUUCGAUAAGUCGGACGUGAAAUCUCCACGCUCAACGUGGAGGGGCCGUUCGAUACUGUCGUGACUCGAGUCCGGUAGGGGAGUGUGGAAUUCCCGGUGUAGCGGUGAAAUGCGCAGAGAUCGGGAGGAACACCCGUAGCGAAGGCGGCACUCUGGGCCGGUACUGACGCUGAGGAGCGAAAGCGUGGGAGGCAACAGG
rnacentral:rRNA from 1 species